UACGUAGGGAGCGAGCGUUGUCCGGAUUCAUUGGGCGUAAAGAGCUCGUAGGCGGUUCAGUAAGUCGGGUGUGAAAUCUCCGUGCUCAACACGGAGCGGCCACCUGAUACUGCUGUGACUCGAGUCCGGUAGGGGAGUGUGGAAUUCCCGGUGUAGCGGUGAAAUGCGCAGAUAUCGGGAGGAACACCAGUAGCGAAGGCGGCACUCUGGGCCGAUACUGACGCUGAGGAGCGAAAGCGUGGGGAGCGAACAGG
rnacentral:rRNA from 1 species